GCGGUGGAUGAUGUGGAUUAAUUCGAUGCAACGCGAAAAACCUUACCUACCCUUGACAUGUCCGGAAUCCUGCAGAGAUGCGGGAGUGCCCGAAAGGGAAUCGGAACACAGGUGCUGCAUGGCUGUCGUCAGCUCGUGUCGUGAGAUGUUGGGUUAAGUCCCGCAACGAGCGCAACCCUUAUCGUUAGUUGCUACCAUUAAGUUGAGCACUCUAGCGAGACUGCCCGGGUUAACCGGGAGGAAGGUGGGGAUGACGUCAAAUCAUCAUGCCCCUUAUGUCUAGGGCUACACACGUGCUACAAUGGUGAGGACAAAGAGACGCAAGACCGCGAGGUGGAGCAAAUCUCACAAGCCUCAUCCCAGUUCGGAUUGCAGGCUGAAACUCGCCUGCAUGAAGCCGGAGUUGCUAGUAAUCGCGAAUCAGCAUGUCGCGGUGAAUACGUUCCCGGGCCUU
rnacentral:rRNA from 1 species